rnacentral:lncRNA from 1 species
GUUUGUUUGUUUCGACGUAAAGUUUCUCUAGGUAGCCCUAGUCGUCCUGUAACUUGCUUUGUAGACCAGGCUGGCCCAAACUCACAGAGAUCCACCUGCUUUUGCCUCCCGAGUGGUGGCAUCAAAGGCCUGUGUCUUCUGGACUUGGCUCGUGUCUUCUUAGGUGGGAAGUCGAACUUUUCCCUGUAAACUCAGAUGGAGCCUGUUUUUCUAACUCUUCUUGAGAGCCAACUUCCUCUUAUUCAUUUGCAUUCCGUUUAGGAAGUCGAAGUUUAUUUUAACAGUUUUUGAAACCAUACAUACUUGAAGGUUUUGUUACUGUUUCUAGACUGGGUCUUACUCUGUAGCCUUGGCUGUCCUGGAGCUCACUAUGUAGACCAGGUUGGCUUCAAAUUCAGAGAUCCUCCUGCCUCUGCCUCCCGAGUGCUCUGGUGCCACCCUGGUUGGAUGAAUUUUCAAAGGAAAUUUAAAAAAAGGUUUCCUCACUGCACGCUGAGAUAAAACAUGUCUGUAAUUUCCCUUCUGGGCCAAUUGGAAGUCCUCUGUGCACGUUGGAAGGCCAGUCAUGCAAUUUUGAAGGUAUCUAGCUGCUUGCAGAAGCCAGGGAGAAGGGAUCCAGAGAGCUGGUGUCACAGUUCUUUGCUUCUGACUUUUUGUUUACUG